rnacentral:rRNA from 1 species
GACGAACGCUGGCGGCGUGCUUAACACAUGCAAGUCGAACGGAAGGCCCUGCUUGCAGGGUACUCGAGUGGCGAACGGGUGAGUAACACGUGGGUGAUCUGCCCUGCACUUCGGGAUAAGCCUGGGAAACUGGGUCUAAUACCGGAUAGGAGCCAUUUUUAGUGUGAUGGUUGGAAAGUUUUUUCGGUGUAGGAUGAGCUCGCGGCCUAUCAGCUUGUUGGUGGGGUAAUGGCCUACCAAGGCGGCGACGGGUAGCCGGCCUGAGAGGGUGGACGGCCACAUUGGGACUGAGAUACGGCCCAGACUCCUACGGGAGGCAGCAGUGGGGAAUAUUGCACAAUGGGCGCAAGCCUGAUGCAGCGACGCCGCGUGGGGGAUGACGGCCUUCGGGUUGUAAACUCCUUUCGCUAGGGACGAAGCUUUUUGUGACGGUACCUAGAUAAGAAGCACCGGCUAACUACGUG